rnacentral:misc_RNA from 1 species
GAUGCAUCGACUGUCGACCGCGCUCCUCUUCAAUUUUGUCCCCCGCGGUCGUUACGUCCCGGGGGUGCGAUCGGGAUCCUGUGCUGCGUACCUAAAUCGAUGGAAUCCGGAUGCUUCGUCGACCCUCAUCCGUCUCGUGCCCCCAGAGGCUACGAGGCGGACGCGAUCUUGCCCGUUGUUCCAAGCGUGCCUCGUUUUUGACGUGGUCGUCUGGGUGCAUCGGUGUCGGAUCGUGCUUAUGGAUGCGAAAAAUUUUGUGGGCGUGGGGUCAUGGCCCCGUUCGAUCGAU